rnacentral:snoRNA from 2 species
AUGACCUUACUUGAACAGGAUAUGUUUUAUAGGCUCGUACCACUGAAUCCUUGAUUUCUAAGGAGACAGGAAACCAAUGAAGUAUGGCCAUGUGACCAGAGCGUGACUAACAGCCUACUAUGGCUCCUCGAGCUAUGGUUGCAGUAGAUGAUCGUAUAUAUAUAACAAUAAAUUUCAGAA